GACGAACGCUGGCGGCGUGCUUAACACAUGCAAGUCGAACGGUAAGGCUCCAGCUUGCUGGGGUACACGAGUGGCGAACGGGUGAGUAACACGUGGGUGACCUGCCCUGCACUUCGGGAUAAGCCUGGGAAACUGGGUCUAAUACCGGAUAGGACCGCACCGUGAGGGUGUGGUGGAAAGUUUUUUCGGUGUGGGAUGGGCCCGCGGCCUAUCAGCUUGUUGGUGGGGUAAUGGCCUACCAAGGCGGCGACGGGUAGCCGGCCUGAGAGGGUGGACGGCCACAUUGGGACUGAGACACGGCCCAGACUCCUACGGGAGGCAGCAGUGGGGAAUAUUGCACAAUGGGCGGAAGCCUGAUGCAGCGACGCCGCGUGGGGGAUGACGGCCUUCGGGUUGUAAACUCCUUUCACCAUCGACGAAGGGUUUCUGACGGUAGAUGGAGAAGAAGCACCGGCUAACUACGUGCCAGCAGCCGCGGUAAUACGUAGGGUGCGAGCGUUGUCCGGAAUUACUGGGCGUAAAGAGCUCGUANGUGGUUUGUCGCGUCGUCUGUGAAUUCCGGGGCUUAAACUCCGGGCGUGCAGGCGAUACGGGCAUAACUUGAGUACUGUAGGGGAGACUGGAAUUCCUGGUGUAGCGGUGAAAUGCGCAGAUAUCAGGAGGAACACCGGUGGCGAAGGCGGGUCUCUGGGCAGUAACUGACGCUGAGGAGCGAAAGCAUGGGGAGCGAACAGGAUUGGAUACCCUGGUAGUCCAUGCCGUAAACGGUGGGCGCUAGGUGUGGGUUUCCUUCCACGGGAUCCGUGCCGUAGCUAACGCAUUAAGCGCCCCGCCUGGGGAGUACGGCCGCAAGGCUAAAACUCAAAGGAAUUGACGGGGGCCCGCACAAGCGGCGGAGCAUGUGGAUUAAUUCGAUGCAACGCGAAGAACCUUACCUGGGCUUGACAUAUACAGGAUCGCGCCAGAGAUGGUGUUUCCCUUGUGGCUUGUAUACAGGUGGUGCAUGGUUGUCGUCAGCUCGUGUCGUGAGAUGUUGGGUUAAGUCCCGCAACGAGCGCAACCCUUGUCUUAUGUUGCCAGCACGUUGUGGUGGGACUCGUAAGAAACUGCCGGGGUUAACUCGAAGGAAGGUGGGGAUGACGUCAAAUCAUCAUGCCCCUUAUGUCCAGGGCUUCACACAUGCUACAAUGGUCGGUACAGUGGGUUGCCAGUCCGUGAGGGCGAGCUAAUCCCGCAAAGCCGGUCUCAGUUCGGAUCGGGGUCUGCAACUCGACCCCGUGAAGUCGGAGUCGCUAGUAAUCGCAGAUCAGCAACGCUGCGGUGAAUACGUUCCCGGGCCU
rnacentral:rRNA from 1 species